GCCACUGCUUCCUGUCGGCAACAAAACACUCAGUUAUUCCACAAACAUCCCUUUAGCACCUACACGGUGUGCCCAGAGCACGGUUAGCUGACAAAUGGAACAUCACCUUUUCCUCAUGGAGCUCCCAGUCUGGAAGGAAGGCCCCUGACUUCCGAGUGGCGUAAUGGUCCAAAUGCAGAAGCUAUUUAUUUACCUUCCAUUUGAUAGACUGAUUUGAACACUCAUCUGUAUAUCAUCUCUCUACCUACUGGACUGUAAGCUCCACAAAUGCCCAAGCUCUGGGAACAUAGGAAGCACUGUAUUAGUGAUUGCUAUCUCUGUGAGGCCGCUGCUCUCCCGGCGCUGUGUACGGCUGAACUGGAAUAUUCGGGGGAUAAAAUCAUGGAAGACAUGGCCUCACCCAGCCUCUCUUGCAGUUUACUGUGGCUAUGAGACUGAGCUUUGGCCAACAGAACGGGCCAGAAUAUGACAGGAGCCACCCCCAUGCAUUCUUUUUUAUUCCCUGUCCUCUUCUGGAUGGCCGUGGAGGCAGCCCCAGGUGAAUACCGAAGCCACGUGUUCAAAAUGGCAGAAUCACUAUCAGCUUGGAUUCCUGAGCGAGGGUGGAGCAGGCCACACUCCACGCCACAUCGCUGGAGUGGUCCAUACUGAUCCAAUAAAGGACCAGUUCUACCAUAGUCUAGCUUAAACUAACACAUAUCUGAUCCACAUAAUGCUAAAAUUAUGAAAGCCUAUUGCCCAGAGGUAUAUUAACCUUUGAGCGCAAACUAUUUCUCUUUGAUAUAGCUCUCUCAUGCUUUUUUAUUCUGUAUGUUAACUAACUGGAAUUUAAAUAAAAACUAAAAGAAAAAAAAAGCAA